rnacentral:tRNA from 1 species
GUGGGUGUAGCUCAACGGCAGAGCAGCGGGCUUUUAACCCGUUGGUUCUGGGUUCGAGUCCCAGCACCCACA